UGCAAGUCGAACGAUGAACCACUUCGGUGGGGAUUAGUGGCGAACGGGUGAGUAACACGUGGGCAAUCUGCCCUGCACUCUGGGACAAGCCCUGGAAACGGGGUCUAAUACCGGAUACUGACCCGCUUGGGCAUCCAAGCGGUUCGAAAGCUCCGGCGGUGCAGGAUGAGCCCGCGGCCUAUCAGCUUGUUGGUGAGGUAAUGGCUCACCAAGGCGACGACGGGUAGCCGGCCUGAGAGGGCGACCGGCCACACUGGGACUGAGACACGGCCCAGACUCCUACGGGAGGCAGCAGUGGGGAAUAUUGCACAAUGGGCGAAAGCCUGAUGCAGCGACGCCGCGUGAGGGAUGACGGCCUUCGGGUUGUAAACCUCUUUCAGCAGGGAAGAAGCGAAAGUGACGGUACCUGCAGAAGAAGCGCCGGCUAACUACGUGCCAGCAGCCGCGGUAAUACGUAGGGCGCGAGCGUUGUCCGGAAUUAUUGGGCGUAAAGAGCUCGUAGGCGGCUUGUCACGUCGGUUGUGAAAGCCCGGGGCUUAACCCCGGGUCUGCAGUCGAUACGGGCAGGCUAGAGUUCGGUAGGGGAGAUCGGAAUUCCUGGUGUAGCGGUGAAAUGCGCAGAUAUCAGGAGGAACACCGGUGGCGAAGGCGGAUCUCUGGGCCGAUACUGACGCUGAGGAGCGAAAGCGUGGGGAGCGAACAGGAUUAGAUACCCUGGUAGUCCACGCCGUAAACGGUGGGCACUAGGUGUGGGCGACAUUCCACGUCGUCCGUGCCGCAGCUAACGCAUUAAGUGCCCCGCCUGGGGAGUACGGCCGCAAGGCUAAAAC
rnacentral:rRNA from 1 species